GAGGUGCUUACCUGCAAGUUCGAACGCGAAAGUCUUCUUCGGAAGACGAGUAGAGUGGCGCACGGGUGAGUAACGCGUAAAUAAUCUACCCUGAUGUCAGGAAUAACCAGCCGAAAGGCUGACUAAUACCUGUUAUAUGAUUACCUGUCGGGGUAAUCAGGAAAGGAGGCCUCUUCUUGAAAGCUUCCGCAUCGGGAUGAGUUUGCGUACCAUUAGCUAGUUGGUGGGGUAACGGCCUACCCAGGCAACGAUGGUUAGCGGGUCUGAGAGGAUGAUCCGUCACACUGGCACUGAAACACGGGCCAGACUCCUACGGGAGGCAGCAGUGAGGAAUAUUGCGCAAUGGGGGCAACCCUGACGCAGCGACGCCGCGUGAGCGAGGAAGGCCUUCGGGUCGUAAAGCUCUGUCAGAUGGGAAGAAGUGUUAUGCGGUUAAUACCCGUAUAAUUUGACGGUACCAUCAAAGGAAGCACCGGCUAACUCCGUGCCAGCAGCCGCGGUAAUACGGAGGGUGCGAGCGUUGUUCGGAAUCACUGGGCGUAAAGGGCGCGCAGGCGGUCUGUUAAGUCAGAUGUGAAAGCCCACGGCUUAACCGUGGAAGUGCAUUUGAAACUGGCAGGCUUGAGUACCAGAGGGGAAAGUGGAAUUCCCGGGUGUAGAGGUGAAAUUCGUAGAUAUCGGGAGGAAAUACCGGGUGGCGAAAGCGACUUUCUGGCUGGAUACUGACGCUGAGCGCGAAAGCGUGGGGAGCAAACAGAUUAGAUACCCUGGUAGUCCACGCCGUAACGAUGUGCACUAAAAUGUUGGGAGUAUUGAUUCCCUUCCGUGUCGCAGCUAACGCAAUAAGUGCACCCGCCUGGGGGAGAUACGGUCGCAAGAUUAUAAACUCCACAGGGAAUGUACCGGGGGGCUC
rnacentral:rRNA from 1 species